UACAGAGGUCCCAAGCGUUGUUCGGAUUCAUUGGGCGUAAAGGGUGCGUAGGCGGCGCGGUAAGUCGGGUGUGAAAGCCCCCGGCUCAACCGGGGAGGGUCGUCGGGGACCGCACCGCUUGAGGGCGGUAGGGGCUGGUGGAAUGCCUGGUGUAGUGGUGAAAUGCGCAGAUAUCAGGAGGAACACCGGUGGCGAAGGCGGAUCUCUGGGCCUUGCCUGACGCUGAGGCGCGAAAGCUAGGGGAGCGAACAGG
rnacentral:rRNA from 1 species